AUAGGCCGGGUGUGGAAGCAGCGACGAAAGAGCUGUGGAGCUGACCGGUACUAAUAAGCCGAUCACUUGUCUA
rnacentral:rRNA from 1 species